rnacentral:lncRNA from 1 species
AAGAGACUGACGAGAUUGCAGCACGUGGUUUUACAAUCAAAGAUUCGGACUGGAAUCCAGACCAGAUAGGUUUGGUGAUGAUUUAAGGAUGCUAUCCGCCGUCCAACAACAAUUCAGCUAGCAAAGCUAACUAAACAAAAGGAAGCCUGGAAGUAAAUACUUUUUGUUGACCUGUGAAAUUACCUGAGAGAUACUGCAAUAGCUAGCAGACAGGUAGCAGCAACUCACACCUGCUGAGUGUUGACUGCAGUACGUGUACGUUCCCUGCAGAAUAAAAAUGCAUAAUCAAUUAGUCAUAGAGAGAUAUGGCUGCAUCGCUGUCGAUGCUGCUUUAUUUGGUAUGAGCAAAUUUGGAGUCGCCAUUAGGCGGUUGACAGUUGAGUGUCACGAAUGGAAUCGUGCAUUAAACCGUACAAAUGAAUGAGUGUUGGCACAAUUAAACAGCGGUCGUGUCGGCACAGGUAGCUCGCACCGUCUUAAAUGUUACGGCCAACUGCAAAUUAUAUCCAGAUCGAUUAUGGGUUUCCUACGAAAAUACGAAAAAUGGAUGUCUUACUAAUUAUUGUGGUAUAACUACUCACUAUAUAUAAGUGUGCUUGGCUAGAUGUUAAAAGCUACCUGGCCUCUCCUAGCUAGAGGAGACACUAAUCAGGAGAAGAAUUAACAUGGCACGAGUAAGGCUUACGCUGCUGCUGGCGAUGUCUCUGCUGAUCCUCUCGCCGGCGAUGGACGGCGGCGUCCAGGCGCAGAUCGUGCCGGCGGUGUUCUCCUUCGGUGACUCGAC